ACCGCUGACCCCAGUCCAUUAUGGAUGCUGUGGUUUUCACACGUGACGAUACGCCGCGUUUUUUCCGCGUAGUUUU
rnacentral:tRNA from 1 species